rnacentral:rRNA from 1 species
UACGUAGGUGGCAAGCGUUGUCCGGAUUUACUGGGCGUAAAGAGCGCGCAGGCGGUCGUUCAAGUCGCGUGUGAAGGCCCCCGGCUCAACUGGGAAGGGUCACGCGAUACUGAUCGACUCGAAGGCAGGAGAGGGUAGUGGAAUUCCCGGUGUAGUGGUGAAAUGCGUAGAUAUCAGGAGGAACACCGAUAGCGAAGGCAGCUCGCUGGGACGGUACUGACGCUGAGACGCGAAAGCGUGGGGAGCAAACAGG